rnacentral:rRNA from 1 species
UACGAAGGGGGCAAGCGUUGUUCGGAAUUACUGGGCGUAAAGGGCGCGUAGGCGGCUUACCAAGUCAGGCGUGAAAUUCCCGGGCUCAACCUGGGGGCUGCGCUUGAUACUGGUGAGCUUGAAUGCGGGAGAGGAUAGUGGAAUUCCCAGUGUAGAGGUGAAAUUCGUAGAUAUUGGGAAGAACACCGGUGGCGAAGGCGGCUAUCUGGCCCGUAAUUGACGCUGAGGCGCGAAAGCCAGGGGAGCGAACGGG